rnacentral:rRNA from 1 species
CGCGUAGGCGGAUUUUCAAGUCAAAUGUGAAAACCGGCGGCUCAACUGCCGGCCUGCAUUUGAUACUGUUAAUCUUGAGUACGGAAGAGGGAAGUGGAAUUCCAGGUGUAGCGGUGACAUGCGUAGAUAUCUGGAAGAACACCGGUGGCGAAGGCGGCUUCCUGGUCCGAUACUGACGCUCAGGCGCGAAAGCUAGGGGAGCAAACA